rnacentral:lncRNA from 1 species
GAGCAUGUGAGGGAGGUGACUUCUCAUGCAGGAUUUGGCCAGGAUUCUCCCAGCAAUGUCCCCGGAGUGCCGCGGGUUGGCAGGACGACAGGAACCCCACAAGGCCAACUUCUGCCUGGACUUUGGCCUGAGAAGCAAGUGGGAGCCAGCAAAACUGCCUGCCUCUCCACACGCGGCGGUGCCCUCCUGCCCAGCACCGAGUCUGGUGCACACCAGAGGCUCUGAAACACAGGGGAUGUGCCCUGCCCUGGGCAGGAGGAGCCCUGGAUCCUUCAUCACAGCAUGAGAGUUGUGAAUUCUGUUUGACACCAUCCUUAUGGCUAAUGUGCACAUCAGAUGCAAUGCAGGUGGAAGUGUCUUAAAAAAGGUAAGCACUUAAUAAUAUUAGAAAAUAAAAUAUUGUUUAUUUUCAUUUAGCCAGCAGAUAUUUAAAGUGCAUCUGUUGUGGGCCAGACACGAUACUAGGCAGAGAGGAUGCAGUAGCGUGAAACCUAACAAUGGCCUCCUCUGCCACACGGAGGUUUUAAGGAGACUGGAUCCAGUGUCUCCAUUUAUUCAUGUGGUUGGAGAAUCUUUUCAAUCCUUCUCUUUUUUUGACAGACCUUACUAGAUUUAGCUCGGCUUUUCCGGCAGACCAGCCCCCGGUCAGAAAUGAACUCCCUACCAGGCUACUGUCUGGGCUGUCUGUGAUGAAGCCACCAGCAAAUACUAGGAAUUCUGUUCUUCUAAAGUCCUUAGUUUGAAUAGCAACUCUGCCAUCUUCUAGCCACCUUACCUAAAUUCUUGAAUUUCCCUGAGCCUCACUUACUACCCUGUAGAAUGGGCACGCUACUCACAUGGAACUGUACAUGUGGGUAAAAUACCAAGGUGCACAAUUGCUGAAUCAUGUGGCAAGACUUUGUUUAGCUUGGUAAGAAACUGCCAAACUGUCUUCCAAAGUGGCGGUACCAUUUUGCACUCACAUCACUAAUGAAUGAGAGUUUAUGUUGCUCCGCAUCCUUGCCAGCAUUUCCUGCUGUCAGUGGUUAGCCACUCUAAUAGAUUUAUAGUGGUAGCUCACUUUACUUUGCAUAUGCAUAUGCAUAUGAUCAUCUUUUCAUAUGCUUAUUUGCCAUCUGUAUAUCUUCUUUGGCGAAGUGUCUAUUCAGAACUUUUGCCUGUUUUUAGUCGACUUGUAUGUUUUUUUAUUGUUGAGUUUUAAGAGCUCUUUGUAUAGUUUGGGUAAAGUCCUUUACCAUGGAUGUGUUUUGCAAAUUUCUCCCAGUCUGUACGUUGCCUUCUCAUUCUCUUAACAAUGUCCUUUGCAGAGCAGAUGUUUUUAAUUUCAAUAAAAUUUAACUUAUCUUUUUAUUUCAUAUUCAUACUUUUGGUAUUAUAUCUAAAAAGUCAUCACCCAACCCAAGGUCACCUAGAUUUUCUCCUAUGUUAUCUUCUAAAAGUUUAAUAGUUUCCCAUUUAAAC